rnacentral:rRNA from 1 species
CCCUUAGAUGUCCGGGGCUGCACGCGCGCUACACUGAAGGAAUCAGCGUGCUAAAACCAUUGUCGAAAGGCAUUGGUAAACCCAUUAAAAUCCUACGUGAUUGGGAUCGGGAAUUGCAAUUAUUUCCCUUGAACGAGGAAUUCCCAGUAAGUGUGGGUCAUAAGCUCGCGUUGAUUACGUCCCUGCCCUUUGUACACACCGCCCGUCGCUGCCCGGGACUGAGCCGUUUCGAGAAAAGCGGGGACUGCUGCUGUCGGGGCUUUCGGGCCUUGGCUUCGGUGGAAACCGCUUUAAUCGCAGUGGCUUGAACCGGGCAAAAGUCGUAACA